UGGGGAAUCUUGCACAAUGGAGGAAACUCUGAUGCAGCGAUGCCGCGUGAGUGAAGAAGGCCCUUGGGUUGUAAAGCUUUUUCGUCGGGGAAGAAAAUGACUGUACCCGAAUAAGAAGGUCCGGCUAACUUCGUGCCAGCAGCCGCGGUAAUACGAAGGGACCUAGCGUAGUUCGGAAUUACUGGGCUUAAAGAGUUCGUAGGUGGUUGAAAAAGUUAGUGGUGAAAUCCCAGAGCUUAACUCUGGAACUGCCAUUAAAACUUUUCAGCUAGAGUAUGAUAGAGGAAAGCAGAAUUUCUAGUGUAGAGGUGAAAUUCGUAAAUAUUAGGAAGAAUACCAAUUGCGAAGGCAGCUUUCUGGAUCAUUACUGACACUGAGGAACGAAAGCAUGGGUAGCGAAGAGGAUUAGAUACCCUCGUAGUCCAUGCCGUAAACGAUGUGUGUUAGACGUUGGAAAUUUAUUUUCAGUGUCGCAGGGAAACCGAUAAACACACCGCCUGGGGAGUACGACCGCAAGGUUA
rnacentral:rRNA from 1 species